AGAUCUUAUUUUAACUGAUGUUGUCAUUUAAGAAUCUUAGGAAAUAAUGGAAUGCUUAAGCCAAGUAGUUAUGCCCCUCCACAUAAGGAAUGGAUUGAUUGAAGAGCAACUGCCAAAGAUGUCUCUAUCAGAUGACUGAGUUGAAAACUGGGGCCUGACGGAGAGACGUGGAGGCGUGGCCAAAAAAUUAUGACUCAGUCUCCAGGCAGAUCAGAUUGUAUCAAGCCAUUCCUGGACUAUUCCGCAGCUGAAAAGAAUCGGCGUUUAGGAAGGAGAAGCAGCAGAUGAAGAAUAUAGGCCCAUGGAACAAACCUUUAAUCAUUUAGAAUAAAACACCUGUUUUCUUAGUCAUAAAAGUAUUUGCUCAUACAAA